rnacentral:lncRNA from 1 species
UUUCUUCUGUGUUUCACACCCAGGAGGGAAUGUCUGUAAUAGUUAGGGUAGUUAUGUGUUUUGGCAUUUGAAACGUGAAGAAAUUUUAUGUGCAAACAAAUUCUUUUCAUGCAUUUACUGAUUUUUUUCCAGCUAAAUUACCCUGAAAUUGAAAAGCAAUUCAAAUGAACUCAGAAAAGGUUGAAAGUUGGCAUGGUAUCAUAAUUUCAUAUAAAUAGCAUGUGCAAGAAAGUAGAGAGGGUUACGACAAAAACUGGAUGCACUUCGUGUACAAAAUGGACAAUCUCUUUCGAAGUAUCAGGGUUUCCGACGAAAACUGAACUGUUACAAAGGCAUUUCAUUUUUUAAAUAACCUAAGCAUUACUAAAUUGAAUAUAAUGAUAAAACACACUAAUAUUGAACAUAAGAAAAAAGAAUCACUGGAAAAACUUUUUUCAAAGUUAAGUUAUUCACAAACUAGUGAUUCACAUAAAUUUCAAAUAAUUCAAAAUUUAAACUAUUCAAAUUUGAAAUCUACCGGCACUAAGAGAGAGUUUGUAAUUUUUUGUACCUAAAGCAAAAAUAUUCACAAAGAAACUCUAAAUACAACAAAAAACAACUCAAAAAUAAAUAAAACAAAAAAAUAAAGCAAAAAAAAGCCCGCCUACUGGGCCAAAGCGGCCUGCAUACGACCAGCGACACAACCUUUCAUUGGGCCAGGAUGCAGGCCCGCGAAGGCCCAGUAGGCCCACAAGGCGAGGAGGACAGGUAGGCCCAGUAGGCCUGACUAGGAGAGGAGCUCGAGAGAGCUACCGCACUGGGGCUUAUAAACCAGUGCGGUAGCCCCUCGACUAGCGAGGUGGGACUAAACUUCCGCACCGCACCUGCGCCAGCGCACCCCCUUUAGUACCGGGUCAUGGCACAAACCGGUACUAAAGGGGGGGCCUUUAGUACCGGUUUGUGCCACCACCCGGUACUAAAGGGGGUCGCUUCCCGCCGCUUGGCCUGGCCAAAACAGACCUUUAGUACCGGUUGGUGGCUCCAAC